GACGAACGCUGGCGGCGCGCCUAACACAUGCAAGUCGAGCGAUGAACAUUGAAUGAUCCCUUCGGGGUGAUUUCGAUCGGAUUAGCGGCGAACGGGUGAGUAACGCGUGAGGAACCUGCCUCUUACAACGGGAUAGCCUCGGGAAACCGGGAUUAAUACCGUAUAAGACUCCGACAUCUCCUGAUGAUGAAGUCAAAGCGUUAGCGGUAAGAGAUGGCCUCGCGUCUGAUUAGCUUGUUGGCGGGGUAACGGCCCACCAAGGCGACGAUCAGUAACCGGCCUGAGAGGGUAAACGGUCACAUUGGAACUGAGACACGGUCCAAACUCCUACGGGAGGCAGCAGUGGGGAAUCUUGCACAAUGGGGGCAACCCUGAUGCAGCGACGCCGCGUGAGCGAUGAAGGUCUUCGAAUCGUAAAGCUCUGUCCUAUGGGAAGAUAAUGACGGUACCAUGGGAGGAAGCCCCGGCUAACUACGUGCCAGCAGCCGCAGUAA
rnacentral:rRNA from 1 species